rnacentral:rRNA from 1 species
UACAGAGGGUGCAAGCGUUAAUCGGAAUUACUGGGCGUAAAGCGAGCGUAGGUGGCUUGAUAAGUCAGAUGUGAAAUCCCCGGGCUUAACCUGGGAACUGCAUCUGAUACUGUCAAGCUAGAGUAGGUGAGAGGAAGGUAGAAUUCCAGGUGUAGCGGUGAAAUGCGUAGAGAUCUGGAGGAAUACCGAUGGCGAAGGCAGCCUUCUGGCAUCAUACUGACACUGAGGCGCGAAAGCGUGGGGAGCAAACAGG